rnacentral:rRNA from 1 species
CCUACGGGUGGCUGCAGUGGGGAAUAUUGGACAAUGGGGGCAACCCUGAUCCAGCCAUGCCGCGUGUGUGAAGAAGGCCCUCGGGUUGUAAAGCACUUUCAGUGAGGAAGAACGCCUGGUGGUUAAUACCCAUCAGGAAAGACAUCACUCACAGAAGAAGCACCGGCUAACUCCGUGCCAGCAGCCGCGGUAAUACGGAGGGUGCGAGCGUUAAUCGGAAUUACUGGGCGUAAAGCGCGCGUAGGUGGCUUGAUAAGCCGGUUGUGAAAGCCCCGGGCUCAACCUGGGAACGGCAUCCGGAACUGUCAAGGUAGAGUGCAGGAGAGGAAGGUAGAAUUCCCGGUGUAGCGGUGAAAUGCGUAGAGAUCGGGAGGAAUACCAGUGGCGAAGGCGGCCUUCUGGACUGACACUGACACUGAGGUGCGAAAGCGUGGGUAGCAAACAGGAUUAGAUACCCUGGUAGUC